AAUUACUUCACCAAACGGGUUGAAGCCGAGCCCUUAACAUAGAUCACCUAGAUGAAUGCUCAAGAAUUUAUGUAAAAAUUUGUUAUCUAUCAGUUUGGAUUUUCAUGAGUAAUCAUCAUCGAAAUGGACACCAAUUCGAUAAUUAAAAAUUUAAAAAUUCUACUCGAAGCUCUACAUCGACCAUAGACUCACCUCGAUAGAUCAUCUACAAUCUAAUAAGAAAGCAAAGGUGACCAAUUGAAUGAUCCUACAAGGACUGAAGACUAGGCUUGGCCAAGUGAAAGGAAUGUGGGCAGAAGAGAAUGUCUUAUGGGCAUAUCAGAUAACACUUCGAACGACAAUUGGAGAAACACCUGUCAACCUCACCUUUGGAGCUGAAGUAGUUAUUCCUGUCGAAAUAGGCAUAUACAGUCAAUCAGACUAGAGUUCUAUGACAAGCAAGAAGAUUCAGAUCGGCUUCAGAUGAACCUAGACUUGCUAGAAGAAAUGAGAGAAAGAGCUCGAAUCAGGAUGGCCUUGUACCAACGAUGGAUAGCCCACAACUAUAAUACUCAGGUCAAAAUGAAAAUUUUUUGAUUCAAAGAAUUCAUCUUGAGAUGAGCCGAAGUGUUCAAAUCCAUAGAAUAGGGCAAAUUGACCCCAAACUAGAAAGAACCAUAUCGAAUUCUGGAAGCCAUCUGACUCAAAGCGUAUAAGUUGG
rnacentral:lncRNA from 1 species